AGGUGCUGCAUGGCUGUCGUCAGCUCGUGCCGUGAGGUGUCGGAUUAAGUCCCAUAACGAGCGCAACCCUCAUCAUUAGUUGCCAGCGAGUAAUGUCGGGGACUCUAAUGAAACUGCCGGUGUAAACCGUGAGGAAGGUGGGGAUGACGUCAAGUCAGCACGGCCCUUAUGUCCAGGGCUACACACGUGUUACAAUGGUCGGUACAAAGGGCAGCUACCUGGUGACAGGAUGCUAAUCUCAAAAACCGAUCUCAGUUCGGAUCGAAGUCUGCAACUCGACUUCGUGAAGCUGGAUUCGCUAGUAAUCGCGCAUCAGCCACGGCGCGGUGAAUACGUUCCCGGGCCUUGUACACACCGCCCGUCAAGCCAUGGAAGCUGGGGGUACCUGGAGUCCGUAACCGUGAGGAGCGGCCUAGGGUAAAACUAGUAACUGGGGCUAAGUCGUAACAAGGUA
rnacentral:rRNA from 1 species